rnacentral:ncRNA from 1 species
CUUAUCAAGAGUGGCGGAGGGACCGGCCCUAUGAAGCCCGGCAACCUGCGAAAGCAAGGUGCCAAUUCCGGCGGUAGUGAUCGAAAGAUGAGG